AGAUCUCCCUUCCUUGGAAACAAUUUGAAGACGUUUCGGAAAUCGAACCAGCUUCCUCCCACACCGAGGGUAGCCACAUUAACCGCCCAUCUGUGGAGCCGGAACCCGAGUGUAUUAUCGUGCAGGAAUAAGAUCUGUCACGACGCCUUGCAAACUGGAGCGCUACGACCCAGACAGCGCGGGCUGUGGCUCCAGCAGUCCCAGCACCGCCACUCGGCCACUCGGCGACCCCGGACGCUCUCCUGCCGCGGCUGCCGGCCACACUCCGCCGCCUCCAGACGAC